UAGGUGAACCUGCGGAAGGAUCAUUACCGAGUUAGGGUCUUAUAGGCCCGACCUCCAACCCUUUGUUUACUACACCAUGUUGCUUUGGCGGGCCCGCCUUUUGGGGCCGCCGGGGGUUUACAAGCCCCUGGUCAGUGUYCGCCAGUAGCCUUAUUAAAUUCUUUUAUAAUUAUGUUGUCUGAGUAUAAAUAUAAAUCGUUAAAACUUUCAACAACGGAUCUCUUGGUUCUGGCAUCGAUGAAGAACGCAGCGAAAUGCGAUAAGUAAUGCGAAUUGCAGAAUUCAGUGAGUCAUCGAAUCUUUGAACGCAUAUUGCGCCCUUUGGYAUUCCGAAGGGCAUGCCUGUUCGAGCGUCAUUAUCAACCAUCAAGCCUGGCUUGUCGUUGGACCCCUUUUUACCGCUGAAAUAUGUGGUAGGUCCGAAAGAUAAUGACGGCGUCGUGUUUGACCCUAGAUGCAACGAGYUUUUUAUAGCACGCAUUGAAGUGGUCGRCCGACCCGGUCUUUAACCAUCAUUUUCUAAGGUUGACCUCGGAUCAGGUA
rnacentral:rRNA from 1 species